AUUAAACGCUGGCGGCAUGCCUUACACAUGCAAGUCGAACGGCAGCACGGGGGCAACCCUGGUGGCGAGUGGCGAACGGGUGAGUAAAGCAUCGGAACGUGCCCUGGAGUGGGGGAUAACGUAGCGAAAGUUACGCUAAUACCGCAUAUUCUGUGAGCAGGAAAGCAGGGGAUCGCAAGACCUUGCGCUCUGGGAGCGGCCGAUGUCGGAUUAGCUAGUUGGUGGGGUAAAGGCUCACCAAGGCGACGAUCCGUAGCGGGUCUGAGAGGAUGAUCCGCCACACUGGGACUGAGACACGGCCCAGACUCUUACGGGAGGCAGCAGUGGGGAAUUUUGGACAAUGGGCGCAAGCCUGAUCCAGCCAUGCCGCGUGAGUGAAGAAGGCCU
rnacentral:rRNA from 1 species